rnacentral:rRNA from 1 species
CCUACGGGUGGCAGCAGUGGGGAAUAUUGGACAAUGGGGACAACCCUGAUCCAGCCAUGCCGCGUGUGUGAAGAAGGCCCUCGGGUUGUAAAGCACUUUCAGUGAGGAAGAACGCCUGGUGGUUAAUACCCAUCAGGAAAGACAUCACUCACAGAAGAAGCACCGGCUAACUCCGUGCCAGCAGCCGCGGUAAUACGGAGGGUGCGAGCGUUAAUCGGAAUUACUGGGCGUAAAGCGCGCGUAGGUGGCUUGAUAAGCCGGUUGUGAAAGCCCCGGGCUCAACCUGGGAACGGCAUCCGGAACUGUCAAGCUAGAGUGCAGGAGAGGAAGGUAGAAUUCCCGGUGUAGCGGUGAAAUGCGUAGAGAUCGGGAGGAAUACCAGUGGCGAAGGCGGCCUUCUGGACUGACACUGACACUGAGGUGCGAAAGCGUGGGUAGCAAACAGGAUUAGAUACCCCAGUAGUC